rfam:Caprimulgus carolinensis contig1093, whole genome shotgun sequence.
AGAGCUUGCAGUAUGCCCUCUGUCAGCUCAUGCUGUAGUAUCUCUUCCUAUCGGUUUAAUAUCUGAUAUGUCCUCAAUGAGAGGACUUUAUAUUAAAUGGAUUUUUGGACUUGCUGGACAUCAGGAAAAGGUUCUUUGCCCAGAGGGUGGUGGAGCACUGGAACAGGCUCCUCAGGGAGAUGGUCAUGGCACCAAGCCUG